rnacentral:rRNA from 1 species
ACGUAUCCAACCUGCCGAUAACUCGGGGAUAGCCUUUCGAAAGAAAGAUUAAUACCCGAUGGCAUAAUAGAACCGCAUGGUUUGAUUAUUAAAGAAUUUCGGUUAUCGAUGGGGAUGCGUUCCAUUAGGCAGUUGGUGGGGUAAUGGCCCACCAAAACCUUCGAUGGAUAGGGGUUCUGAGAGGAAGGUCCCCCACAUUGGAACUGAGACACGGUCCAAACUCCUACGGGAGGCAGCAUG